rnacentral:rRNA from 1 species
CCUACGGGAGACAGCAGUGAGGAAUAUUGGUCAAUGGGCGCGAGCCUGAACCAGCCAAGUAGCGUGAAGGAUGACUGCCCUACGGGUUGUAAACUUCUUUUAUAAGGGAAUAAAGUGAGGCACGUGUGCCUUUUUGUCUGUACUUUAUGAAUAAGGAUCGGCUAACUCCGUGCCAGCAGCCGCGGUAAUACGGAGGAUCCGAGCGUUGUCCGGAUUUAUUGGGUUUAAAGGGAGCGUAGAGGGGUUGUUAAGUCAGUUGUGAAAGUUUGGGGCUCAACCGUGAAAUUGCAAUUGAAACUGGCAGCAUUGAGUACAGUUGAGGUAGGCGGAAUUAGUGGUGGAGCGGUGAAAUGAUUAGAUAUCACGAAGAA